AGAGUUUGAUCAUGGCUCAGGAUGAACGCUGGCGGCGUGCCUAACACAUGCAAGUCGAACGGAGUUAUGCAGAGGAAGUUUUCGGAUGGAAUCGGCGUAACUUAGUGGCGGACGGGUGAGUAACGCGUGGGAAACCUGCCCUGUACCGGGGGAUAACACUUAGAAAUAGGUGCUAAUACCGCAUAAGCGCACAGCUUCACAUGAAGCAGUGUGAAAAACUCCGGUGGUACAGGAUGGUCCCGCGUCUGAUUAGCCAGUUGGCAGGGUAACGGCCUACCAAAGCGACGAUCAGUAGCCGGCCUGAGAGGGUGAACGGCCACAUUGGGACUGAGACACGGCCCAAACUCCUACGGGAGGCAGCAGUGGGGAAUAUUGCACAAUGGGGGAAACCCUGAUGCAGCGACGCCGCGUGAGUGAAGAAGUAUUUCGGUAUGUAAAGCUCUAUCAGCAGGGAAGAAAAUGACGGUACCUGACUAAGAAGCCCCGGCUAACUACGUGCCAGCAGCCGCGGUAAUACGUAGGGGGCAAGCGUUAUCCGGAUUUACUGGGUGUAAAGGGAGCGUAGACGGCAUGACAAGCCAGAUGUGGAAACCCAGGGCUCAACCCUGGGACUGCAUUUGGAACUGCCAGGCUGGAGUGCAGGAGAGGUAAGCGGAAUUCCUAGUGUAGCGGUGAAAUGCGUAGAUAUUAGGAGGAACACCAGUGGCGAAGGCGGCUUACUGGACUGUAACUGACGUUGAGGCUCGAAAGCGUGGGGAGCAAACAGGAUUAGAUACCCUGGUAGUCC
rnacentral:rRNA from 1 species